GGCGACCGGCGCACGGGUGAGUAACGCGUAUGCAACUUGCCUAUCAGAGGGGGAUAACCCGGCGAAAGUCGGACUAAUACCGCAUAAAACAGGGGUUCCGCAUGGGGAUAUUUGUUAAAGAUUCAUCGCUGAUAGAUAGGCAUGCGUUCCAUUAGGCAGUUGGCGGGGUAACGGCCCACCAAACCGACGAUGGAUAGGGGUUCUGAGAGGAAGGUCCCCCACAUUGGUACUGAGACACGGACCAAACUCCUACGGGAGGCAGCAGUGAGGAAUAUUGGUCAAUGGCCGGGAGGCUGAACCAGCCAAGUCGCGUGAAGGAUGAAGGUUCUAUGGAUUGUAAACUUCUUUUGUGCGGGAAUAAAGUCGGGGACGUGUCCCCGUUUGCAUGUACCGUACGAAUAAGCAUUGGCUAACUCCGUCCCAGCAGCCGCGGUAAUACCGAGGAUGCGAGGAGUAUCCGGGAUUUAUUGGGUUAAAAGGGUGCGUAGGUCGCCGAUUAAGUCAGCGGUGAAAUCCAGUGGCUCAACCAUGGGACUGCCGUUGAAACUGGCCGGCUUGAGUAUGAUUGAGGCAGGCGGAAUGCGUGGUGUAGCGGUGAAAUGCAUAGAUAUCACGCAGAACCCCGAUUGCGAAGGCAGCUUGCCAAGCCAUGACUGACACUGAAGCACGAAAGCGUGGGUAUCAAACAGGAUUAGAUACCCUGGUAGUCCACGCAGUAAACGAUGAUUACUAGGAGUUUGCGAUACAGUGUAAGCUCCACAGCGAAAGCGUUAAGUAAUCCACCUGGGGAGUACGCCGGCAACGGUGAAACUCAAAGGAAUUGACGGGGGCCCGCACAAGCGGAGGAACAUGUGGUUUAAUUCGAUGAUACGCGAGGAACCUUACCCGGGUUUGAACGCAGGCGGACGGGGGUGGAAACACCCUUUCCAGCAAUGGUCUCCUGCGAGGUGCUGCAUGGUUGUCGUCAGCUCGUGCCGUGAGGUGUCGGCUUAAGUGCCAUAACGAGCGCAACCCCUGCCGCCAGUUACUAGCAGGUAAUGCUGAGGACU
rnacentral:rRNA from 1 species